rnacentral:rRNA from 1 species
AUGACCUCAAAUCAGAUGAGACUACCCGCUGAACUUAAGCAUAUCACUGUCCGAGUUGUAAAUUGAAGAGAGUGUCAUCACACUGGACCAUGUCUAAAUUGUAAUGAUCCACAGUCCUUUGAUGGA